GAAGUUGCUCUUUAGAUCUUCUGCUCACCAACUGAUAAACUCUAUGAUAUAAAGCUCCAUUAGUCUAUUAAAUGAAGGAUCGUCUUAAUCUGAUGGCAGCUCUGUCUGAGAACAUGCUGAUAGUAAACAUGUUACUGGGUGUCUUCUUUCUUCCAGGUACUUUGGCUAAUUGUGGUAAAAACCCAGACCUCAGAAUCACUACACCAAAUAAGAUUGAAGCUCUGAGUGGAUCUUGUUUGGAAAUCCCAUGUAUCUAUGAUACAGAGGAUCCCAGAUAUGACAGCAGCAGAACUAUCUAUGGAGUUUGGAUGAAAGGUGGUCACAAUUUUGGCCCUAAUCCAAAUAUCGUUAUUUUCAACAGCAGUGGGUCAGUUAACAACUAUUCACUGAGUCUUACUGGAAACCUGAGAGAGAAAAACUGCACCACUCUGUUU